rnacentral:lncRNA from 10 species
GCAAAUUGUCAGGAAUUUAUCAAAUUGUUUACUAAAAGACUUAAGAUGGUACUCUAUAGAAGGAGCUUGGUAUGUACUCACAAAGACAUGGAAGACAGGAUGUGCAGUGAAGAAAACACAGGCUUUGGACAGAACCUGGAUUCAAACCCUUGUUCUGCGACUCUUGCACGUAUACAUCCAGAUGGCCUGAAGUAACUGAAGAUCCACAAAAUAAGUAAAAACAGCCUUAACUGACGACAUUCCACCAUUGUGAUUUGUUCCUGCCCCACCCUAACUGAUCAAUGUACUUUGUAAUCUCCCCCACCCUUAAGAAGGUACUUUGUAGUCUCCCCCACCCUUAAGAGGGUUCUUUGUAAUUCUCCCCACUCUUGAGAGUGUGCUUUGUGAGAUCCACCCCUGCCCACCAGAGAACAACCCCCUUUGACUGUAAUUUUCCAUUACCUUCCCAAAUCCUAUAAAAUGGCCCCACCCCUAUCUCCCUUCACUGACU